rnacentral:snRNA from 1 species
UGAAGCAACAAUUCUGGACAG